GAGUUUGAUCAUGGCUCAGAUUGAACGCUGGCGGUAUGCAUAACACAUGCAAGUCGAACGGUAGCAGGCUCGGGAAACCGAGUGCUGACGAGUGGCGGACGGGUGAGUAAUGCGUAGGGAUUUGCCUAGUAGAGGGGGAUAACCUGGGGAAACUCAGGCUAAUACCGCAUAUGCCUAAGGGUGAAAGAGGGGGACCGUAAAAGGCCUCUUGCUACUGGAUGAACCUGCGUAGGAUUAGCUAGUUGGUAGGGUAAAGGCCUACCCAGGCGAAGAUCCUUAACUGGUCUGAGAGGACGACCAGUCACACUGGGACUGAAACACGGCCCAGACUCCUACGGGAGGCAGCAGUGGGGAA
rnacentral:rRNA from 1 species